rnacentral:rRNA from 1 species
UACGUAGGGUCCGAGCGUUGUCCGGAAUUAUUGGGCGUAAAGGGCUCGUAGGCGGUCCGUCGCGUCGGGAGUGAAAACUCGGAGCUUAACUCCGAGCCUGCUUCCGAUACGGGCAGACUAGAGGUAGGCAGGGGAGAGCGGAACUCCUGGUGUAGCGGUGGAAUGCGCAGAUAUCAGGAAGAACACCGGUAGGCGAAGGCGGCUG